UGGGAAGCUACUGGCAGCACUGUUCUAAUGGAUGGUGCCUUCUCCCUAUAACAUCAGUGCAGGGAGACAAUACCUUAUCGGACUGCAAUGCUGCAUUAAGAGAUGAGGAAGAAGAGAAUCUACUAGGGGAGCCCAGUUACAAAGAAAGAAAAAAUGAUGGAUUCAAUACAAAUCUGACAAGGCAUGAAAGCAGUGUUUCCAAAUCAAAAUAUUUCUGGUUUUGGCAAAAUACAAAAUACACUAUUUUAUGAC